GAUGAACGCUGGCGGCGUGCCUAAUACAUGCAAGUCGAGCGAACAGACGAGGAGCUUGCUCCUCUGACGUUAGCGGCGGACGGGUGAGUAACACGUGGAUAACCUACCUAUAAGACUGGGGUAACUUCGGGAAACCGGAGCUAAUACCGGAUAAUAUAUUGAACCGCAUGGUUCAAUAGUGAAAGACGGUUUUGCUGUCACUUAUAGAUGGAUCCGCGCCGCAUUAGCUAGUUGGUAAGGUAACGGCUUACCAAGGCAACGAUGCGUAGCCGACCUGAGAGGGUGAUCGGCCACACUGGAACUGAGACACGUUCCAGACUCCUACGGGAGGCAGCAGUAGGAAAUCUUCCGCUAUGGGCGAAAGCCUGACGGAGCAACGCCGCGUGAGUGAUGAAGGUCUUCGGAUCGUAAAACUCUGUUAUUAGGGAAGAACAAAUGUGUGAGUAACUAUGCACGUCUUGACGGUACCUAAUCAGAAAGCCACGGCUAACUACGUG
rnacentral:rRNA from 1 species